rnacentral:rRNA from 1 species
GACGAACGCUGGCGGCGUGCCUAAUACAUGCAAGUUGAGCGCUGAAGGUUGGUACUUGUACCAACUGGAUGAGCAGCGAACGGGUGAGUAACGCGUGGGGAAUCUGCCUUUGAGCGGGGGACAACAUUUGGAAACGAAUGCUAAUACCGCAUAAAAACUUUAAACACAAGUUUUAAGUUUGGAAGAUGCAAUUGCAUCACUCAAAGAUGAUCCCGCGUUGUAUUAGCUAGUUGGUGAGGUAAAGGCUCACCAAGGCGAUGAUACAUAGCCGACCUGAGAGGGUGAUCGGCCACAUUGGGACUGAGACACGGCCCAAACUCCUACGGGAGGCAGCAGUAGGGAAUCUUCGGCAAUGGACGAAAGUCUGACCGAGCAACGCCGCGUGAGUGAAGAAGGUUGUCGGAUCGUAAAACUCUGUUGGUAGAGAAGAACGUUGGUGAGAGUGGAAAGCUCAUCAAGUGACGGUAACUACCCAGAAAGGGACGGCUAACUACGUG